ACUCGGCCCACAGCGCCCACAAGCUCCAUCCAACAUGGCUGCAGCUGCGCAGAUGGCUGUGGCUGCCUCCAGGAAGGAGUCUCCAGGCAGAUGGGCCCUGGGGGAGGAGCAGGCAGGCGUGGGCCCCUCCGUCCAGUGCCGCGUGUGCGGGGACAGCAGCAGUGGGAAGCACUAUGGCAUCCACGCCUGCAACGGCUGCAGCGGCUUCUUCAAGAGGAGCGUGAGGCGGAGGCUCAUCUAUAGGUGCCAGGUGGGGGCAGGGAUGUGCCCGGUGGACAAGGCCCAUAGGAACCAGUGCCAGGCCUGCCGGCUGAAGAAGUGCCUGCAGGCGGGUAUGAACCAGGACGCCGUGCAGAAUGAGCGCCAGCCCCGAAGCACAGCCCACGUCCGCCUGGAGAGGAUGGUGUCAGACAGGGAGCCCCAGCUGGCGCCCCUGGUGGCACUGCCGGCCUCAGCAGGGCCCAGCCCACGGGGCCCCAUGUCUGUUUCUGCAGCCAGAGCCUUGGGGCCGGGGGCCCUCACACCUCCAGGUCACCACCACUUCAUGGCCAGCCUUAUAACAGCCGAAACCUGUGCUAAGCUGGAGCCAGAGGAUGCUGAUGAGAACAUCGAUGUCACCAGCAAUGACCCCGAGGUCCCCUCCUCCCCUUGUGGCCCAGAAAGCAUCCAUGAGACGUCAGCUCGCCUGCUCUUCAUGGCGGUCAAGUGGGCCAAGAACCUGCCGGUGUUCUCCAACCUGCCUUUCCGGGACCAGGUGAUCUUGCUGGAAGAGGCGUGGAGUGAACUCUUCCUCCUCGGAGCCAUCCAGUGGUCUCUGCCUCUGAACCACUGCCCACUGCUGGCCCCUCCGGAGGCCCCGGCGGCUGGCAGCUCCCAGGGCCGGCUGGCAUUGGCCAGCAUGGAGAUGCGAAUCCUGCAGGAAACCAUCUCACGGUUCCGGGCGUUGGCGGUGGACCCCACAGAGUUUGCCUGCAUGAAGGCCCUGGUCCUCUUCAAACCAGAAACGCGGGGCCUGAAGGAUCCGGAGCAGGUGGAGGCCUUGCAGGACCAGUCCCAGGUGAUGCUGAGCCAGCACAGCAAAGCCCACCACCCCAGCCAGCCUGUGAGGUUUGGGAAAUUGCUCCUGCUCCUCCCUUCUUUGAGGUUUAUCGCUUCUGAACGCGUGGAGCUCCUGUUUUUCCGCAAGACCAUCGGGAAUACUCCAAUGGAAAAGCUCCUCUGUGAUAUGUUCAAAAACUAAUGGAGGCGGAAGUAAAGUGGGCACAGCCGCUUUGGAAAACAGUCUACGGAUGUAAAACACUUGCCUGCCCUGUGACCCAGCAAUUCCACCUGGAGAUUAACUCUUGGGGAGGGAAAAAUCAUCCACGUUUAUGAAUGAAAACCCUGAGGCUUAGCGAGGACUCGGACGUGCUGUGACUCUGCUCAGCUGUGGCACUGCCUCCUGCCCUCACCCCCUCAACCUCUGGAGCCCCUGAACAGUCUGCUGCAUUUUCUCCUUCAAAGAAGAGAGAUGCUUGAAGUCAAGAAGGAAAGGUCAUGUGAGAAAUUCCCUGCCCUUUGGCCUGUGCCUGGAUUCUCCCAGCUGACACAGAUAUCCUGUGGUGAUGGAGGGAGAGUGAUGGAGGGAGAACGGUUCAGAACACUUUGCUUUGGAAAUGACCAUUGCUAGGUUGGUGCCCAGGAUGGAAAGAGUGGAAAAUCCUGCCCAGCUGAGGUCCAGCCCACUUAAGCACUCAAACUACUUGAGACUCUUCAUCUUCUGAAAGGGUCCGACUUGCCUCAGUUAUUCGGGUGAUUUAAUGUCUGUAAUGUCAUCGUCCCUUCCAAUUCCCUACCCAAAGUUUUGCCUGUAGGUUUAAAGGCCUAUGUAUAGAAAGCCUGAGCAAAGGCACUUCAGCAAGAAACAUGGUUGAAAUAUGACCAGCUAGGCCCUGCACACUUACCCUAGUCUUGCUUUGAGACCCUAAGACUGCAAAGGCAGCCUGCUGAAGUUCACAGGCGGUGUCUAGGAUGUGGGAACACAGCAGAGCUACACUGGGAAAGGCAUUGUUUGGGGUCUCCAGGAGGAAGUCUUGGAGAAUUAAAGGAGGUCUAAGCUGGUGGCAUCCAUACCACCUGCCCUUCUAAGGCCUGUGUUCAUUGCAGAUUCCAGGAACUACAUUUCCCAGGAUCCCUGCCCCUGUGGUUUGCUAAGGGAAAGAGGGCACUCCUGAGAUUUGGAAGGACCCUUGCCGCGAGAGGGGAUACUAUGGAAGUUCCUUUUUGCCCUCAAUACCAGAAAUGUCUUUGGUUAUGAAGCACACAGAAGUGGUUCCGUGGGCCUUUCAGCUGCAGUUUUCAGGUUCAGAAGACACAUCUCCUCCUCGACCCUUAAGGGGCAGAGAAAGACUGAAAGAUGCCAAGAAGCACCCAUUCAAGUGAACGAAUAUAGCCUGAUGACGGAACCCAGGUGCUGGGGAUUUCAGAGUCAGCAAGACAGUCACAUUUCCUGCCUUGGGAAGCUGACAUCAAACUGUUUUGGUGCCACAAAUACUGGGAACUGUUGAGAACACAAGACAUCUAACCCAGUUCAAGGGAGAAGAGGCAAUUUCCAACUAGAACUGUUUUACACUGAGGCCUGAGAGUCAGUAGGAGUUAGUUAUUCAGAAACCUGGGGAAGAGAACUCAUUUCCAGAGAGGAAAACUAACACCCAGAGAGGGCAAAUGACUGAAGUAGAAUGGCAGACAAAAACGACAAACUAGGUUUGAACUCUUGGGCCUCUAUAAGCAGGUACUGCCACUUCUUCACGGCCCUUUUGGUGAGGACCCUAAAUGCAGGUGUAUCGCCUUCCCUGCCCAGCCAGCCCUAAGCGGAUGAGAUGAAUUGGGGAUGGCCAGCAGCUAGAAUCCAUGAAGGGAACCAGCAGCUUCAAUCUCACCAUCACGUGCACUCAGUUGAGUUCCAACCACCACCACCUCUGCACUGUCAACUUUGGGCUCAGCCUUUUCCUUAAAAAAAUCAGUUUAACAAACAAAAAACAUUGCUGUUCCUUGGGAUCAGGUUGGAGCGAGUUGGGGCGGGAGCCAGGACGGUCAGAAAACAAACCACACGCAUUGCUGCUACUGGAAGCUUUUGUUCUUUAAUGAGCCAUUGGGGUGAUUUGUUCAAGCUGCUUUGUAGCCAUACAGUGCAUAUUUUCAGUGACACAAACUGGACUUUAUACAGAUGAUGUCUUGCUCCCCCCCAACUCCCUCAAAAAUACAAAGUGCCUGUUGAUUGUAUCAGGAAUGUAAUCAGUUCCGUGGGUGAAAUGUCAUUCUUCUUAUAGAAUUAUUCUGUUUAACAGUAAAAUAUUAUAUUUCACAGGAUAUGUCCUUUUACAAUACAUAGUCUUUUAAAAAUUUACACUCAGCAUACUUAUAAAUUACUUUAAAUCCAUUAAAAUAAUACUAAUCUGUAGCACACACCUUUCCCCUAGAAAAUACAAUUACUUGGUUCAAAAGGUGUCACUUUUCUAUGACCUAAGAGGGCUGAUAAAUAGGUAAUAAGGGUGGAUAACAAGGUGAUAGACCCCUUGGUGGGGCUUUUUCAAAACCAGUUUCAACCAAGAGACCAAGAUGACAUAACAGACCCAUGUCCCAUCACCAUUCUGCUGUUACCUUUUAACACCAAAUGGGAAGGGUUCCAGAGAAAAGUGGUUCAAAGUAUUUUAGGGGCAGAGAGAGAGAGACAGGACUCCCACAAAUACCAAGGAACUUCACCAUCAAGGCGAGCAUGGUGUUGGGGGGACGAUGCUGGGGAGUUGUCACAGAAUUUUGGGUAGACGUAACACAUUUGUCAACACAGUGAUGCGUGCCCCAUGUCCAGCUCCCCACCAAGGGAAAAAAAGAGGAGAAAGAAGGAUAAGGAAAGCCGUCUGGACUGCAUUUUUUUUUAAAUUAAAACUCUGAGUUCUGAACACAUCCUGAUUUCUCUGCUUCACCGAAGUGCUCAUGAGGCGCACACAUUCAUCGUAUUAAAGUAACCACGGCCCACGGGCACGGAGUGGGCUGCACCGAGCGGCACCUCUUCUCAGCGAGUCUGGGACACUCUGCCUCUGACAGUAAAAACAACCCUAUCGUGACAGAGCGGGGAAUUCUCCACUAACCUCCUCGCAGGGUAAGAGGUCUGCCUCUGCGAGACUCAGGGAAGGCUGGCUGUCCCUUUGUGUUCCCAGAGCCCACUGUGGCAAAGUGAUUCAAACGGCAGAAGUACAAAGUGCUUUACAAACUAAAUUAAGCAGGUCUCCUCCGAACUCUUCCUGUAUUUGCUGUUAAAGUCAUUUGCCUCACUUUGUGAUACCCAAUGUGGCCCCCAAAACUACAUGCCUCUGCUUCCAUGACAUUAUCCACGAUAAGGGACGUGUUGGCUUUAAAGGAGAGAGUUGAGAACCCAGCCUUUGUUUGGGGCUGGGGCUGUGUGGUAAGAACAGUGCUCUGCAUUUUGGAGGAUGGGCCAGGAGGCAUCUGAGAUCAAAGAAAACAUGCAAAGGAGAAACAACAGGACACACAGAUGUGAUACAUAUUAAGAGCAAGUAUCUUAAUCGUAAGUGACUGUAUCGUGUGCAGCUCACUUCAUGGUGAUGGAACCUGAACCAGGGAGAGAACCCGUAAGAUCAAAUGGAAGGAGAUACAGCACUUGGUUCUGGCAGUUUUCAAGAGUUCCAACUUCAUCUCUUUAUCAGGCCACAAUGCCUAUUACUCUAUGAGAACAACGGCUUUCUCUCCUUCACACGGAGGGGCACACACUUGUUCUCCAUUCUUACAAUUUCAUGAUCUCUUCUCCCCACCACCCUCCAUUUUGGCAGCUUGUUAAAUGACUAGAAAUCCACAAAUCUAGCAACUGAAAAACAAAUAUUUUUUAUUUAAUUUUAUCCAAAUUCAGGUUUCAGGUCCCUGAGAAAAAUUAUAAAGUCUCUUAACAUCCAUUGCUGAGUUCCUAUAAAGUGACUUAAAUGAGUAGUUUUUUAACUGCCAAAAACUUAUUCUGCAAAAAACAACAAUAGCAACAUCAAAAAAUUCCACAUAGGUUUAGGAGGAGAACAUGUGCCCAGAUGUGUUCUCCAGGCCAUUCCUCGGGGCUGAAGGAAAGGGUCAUCGCCUUUUUGUGUGGUACUGAACCAAUGUUUGGAGCAGGUGGAAAGGCCGUCAGGCCCAGAGCAGACUCUCCCAGGGGCACUGGGCCAGGUUGUGGCCUGCCAGGGGCCGGGGCCUGGGCAGCGAUCCCCCUGGGACAUGCCAUGCUGAGGACCUGGGUUUUCCUCCAGGGGAGUCUCCAAAAUUCAAUUAUUUAAAGGCUUCCCAUUUAUGACUCCUCAGAACAGCACAAACAAGCUGGCCGGUGUUUGUGGGCUAUAAAAGCGAACAUUUACUCACUAACCAUCAUCAUUCUGGAUUUGAAAGGAUUCCCUUCCCUAGAUCACUGCUGAACCCAGACCAGGGGCGGGUAAGACUCCCGCUGCCUUUAGCGGGAACCACAUUCCGAGAGGUACCUCGGGCUUGACAACAGCCACGCAGCCAGUGGCGCGAGGCUCCGCGCUGAGUAACAGGAGAUGCUCUGCCUUAACACAAGUCUUAGUAUUUCCAUAACUUCAAAUCAAAGACGCAUGAAAAGGAAGAAUAACCAAAAUUCAGGUUACAGGUGGUAAAGGCUCUUUUUUUAGAACAGUGCAUGUGGUAGUUAGACAAGAUGCAUUUAGUAACUUUAAAACAAAUCUUAAAAAUAAACAUUUUCACAUACUUAUCUCAAGAAAGGGUAACAUGUUUCAUUUUCCAUGUAUCAUAAAUAGCAAAAACAGAUUUCGAAUCCCACGAAUCCUACGAAGCUUAAAAUGCUAUUGUAACUCAGGUGUAUGGAGACACCCAGUGGUGAGAGAUGGUCUGACUUGUCCCUCAGUCCAGGGACGGGAGGUGUCACCUCCCAGUCCAAUGACCCAUAAUCUGGGGGAAGAAAUUCCACGGGGAGGAGGGAAGCAUAAGGUUAAAAAGAAAUGUGCAUACUAUACAUAUAUAUUUACAGUAAACUUCAGUAACCAGAAUAUUAACAAAAAUAGCUU